GACGAACGCUGGCGGCGUGCCUAAUACCUGCAAGUCGAGCGGAAGUUGGAGAGCUUGCUCUUCAACUUUAGCGGCGGACGGGUGAGUAACACGUGGGCAACCUGCCCUGCAGAUCGGGAUAACUCCAGGAAACCGGUGCUUAUACCGAAUAGUUUUCGCCACCUCCUGGUGGCGUACGGAAAGACGGUUUCGGCUGUCACUGCAGGAUGGGCCCGCGGCGCAUUAGCUAGUUGGUGGGGUAACGGCCCACCAAGGCAACGAUGCGUAGCCGACCUGGGAGGGUGAUCGGCCACACUGGGACUGAGACACGGCCCAGACUCCUACGGGAGGCAGCAGUAGGGAAUCUUCCGCAAUGGACGAAAGUCUGACGGAGCAACGCCGCGUGAGUGACGAAGGUUUUCGGAUCGUAAAACUCUGUUGUGAGGGAAGAACAAGUACCAACUAACUACUGGUACCUUGACGGUACCUCACCAGAAAGCCACGGCUAACUACGUGCCAGCCGCCGCCGUAACAC
rnacentral:rRNA from 1 species